rnacentral:rRNA from 1 species
UAGGGAAUCUUCCACAAUGGGCGCAAGCCUGAUGGAGCAACGCCGCGUGUGUGAUGAAGGCUUUCGGGUCGUAAAGCACUGUUGUAUGGGAAGAAUAGUUAAUGUAGGAAAUGAUGUUAAUGUGACGGUACCAUACCAGAAAGGGACGGCUAAAUACGUGCCAGCAGCCGCGGUAAUACGUAUGUCCCGAGCGUUAUCCGGAUUUAUUGGGCGUAAAGCGAGCGCAGACGGUUCGUUAAGUCUGAAGUGAAAGCCCACAGCUCAACUGUGGAAUGGCUUUGGAAACUGGCGAACUUGAGUGCAGUAGAGGCAAGUGGAACUCCAUGUGUAGCGGUGGAAUGCGUAGAUAUAUGGAAGAACACCAGUGGCGAAGGCGGCUUGCUGGACUGUAACUGACGUU